rnacentral:rRNA from 1 species
UACGGAGGGUGCAAGCGUUAUCCGGAUUUACUGGGUUUAAAGGGUGUGUAGGCGGGUCUUUAAGUCAGUGGUGAAAUCUCCGAGCUCAACUUGGAAACUGCCAUUGAUACUAUUGAUCUUGAAUUUUGUUGAGGUAGGCGGAAUAAGUCAUGUAGCGGUGAAAUGCAUAGAUAUGACUUAGAACACCAAUUGCGAAGGCAGCUUACUAAGCAAAUAUUGACGCUGAGGCACGAAAGCGUGGGGAUCAAACAGGAUUAGAACC